rnacentral:ncRNA from 1 species
GAUUCUGGCUUUACUGACUAUUAUUUCUUCAAGCUAUAUGUAACAAUGUCCUAAUGGCAGAAAGUGCAGUAGCAAAUAUUGCAGGUCAUUUCUUGGAUGCAGUGAUUAGAUCUUUAAAGGGAGAAUAUCGUGCCAGCAUCCGCGGUCAUACGAUACUUUACAAUAGUCACUAUGAGGGAACAGCUACGUUUUGAAAUUUAAAGAAAUUAAAAGUUUAGAGGUGAAAUUCGGGCUCGACAUCGAAUAAAAAUAUGGAAACAGCCUUAAUAAGCAGGCCAACUAGGAUUAGAUACCCUAUUAGACUUAAAUAGAUUUCUGGGGUAGUAUUAUAGAAACCUAAAGAAUUUGGCGGUUUCUAGACUCAUCAGAGGAAUCUGCCCCGUAAUCGAUAAUCCACGAGUAAAGGUACCUGUCCUCGUUGUCAGUUUAUAUACCGUCGUUUAGAGAGCUUCAUUAAUAGCCUCUCUCAGAGGCCUAGGCCCACAAAUCAGAUCAAGGUGUAGCUUACGGGCAGGUGGAGGUGGAUUACACUGAGCUUUACUGCGGACUCAGUUUUGUAUUAGACUGAUAAAGAUGGAUUUGAAAGUAAACUAUAGAAAAAGUUGAAGAAAGAGGCCCUGGAAAUGUACACAUCGCCC